GACGAACGCUGGCGGCGUGCUUAACACAUGCAAGUCGAGCGGUAAGGCCCUUUCGGGGGUACACGAGCGGCGAACGGGUGAGUAACACGUGGGUGACCUGCCCUCAGCUCUGGGAUAAGCCUGGGAAACCGGGUCUAAUACCGGAUAUGACUCCAUGACGCAUGUUGUGGGGUGGAAAGCCUUGUGCGGCUGAGGAUGGGCCCGCGGCCUAUCAGCUUGUUGGUGGGGUGAUGGCCUACCAAGGCGACGACGGGUAGCCGGCCUGAGAGGGCGACCGGCCACACUGGGACUGAGACACGGCCCAAACUCCGUACGGGAGGCAGCACGUGGGGAAUAUUGGACAAGUGGGCGAAAGCCU
rnacentral:rRNA from 1 species